AUAAUUAAAGCUCCGGCGCUUAAUGAUGGGUGUGCGGCUGAUUAGAUAGUUGGCGGGGUAACGGCCCACCAAGUCUACGAUCAGUAACUGGUGUGAGAGCACGACCAGUCACACGGGCACUGAGACACGGGCCCGACUCCUACGGGAGGCAGCAGUAAGGAAUAUUGGUCAAUGGACGCAAGUCUGAACCAGCCAUGCCGCGUGGAGGAUGAAGGUCCUCUGGAUUGUAAACUUCUUUUAUAUGGGACGAAAAAAGGUCUUUCCAGAUCAACUGACGGUACCAUAUGAAUAAGCACCGGCUAACUCCGUGCCAGCAGCCGCGGUAAUACGGAGGGUGCAAGCGUUAUCCGGAUUCACUGGGUUUAAAGGGUGCGUAGGUGGGUCUGUAAGUCCGUGGUGAAAUCUCCGAGCUUAACUUGGAAACUGCCAUGGAUACUAUAGGUCUUGAAUACUGUGGAGGUCAGCGGAAUAUGUCAUGUAGCGGUGAAAUGCUUAGAUAUGACAUAGAACACCAAUUGCGAAGGCAGCUGGCUACGCAAAUAUUGACACUGAGGCACGAAAGCGUGGGGAUCAAACAGGAUUAGA
rnacentral:rRNA from 1 species